AGGUUCAUUAGGGAGGAAAAUACUACAAAUGAUCUCACUUCUCAUCUGACUUUGGACGAGCAUAUCUCCUAAUACAUAACGAGUUACAGGGACUACAACCUAUCCACUCAAAGGCAUGUGAUUCUAGUUUCCAUCAAAACGAACUUCACAUUAAAACAAUAUCGGAGUAAAAGGUUAUGUUCAUUCUAUGACAGAAUGCCUAACCACUGCAGGACAUGUGGCACUUUAAAGAAAGUCACCCAAACUUCUUGUUUUUAUGUUAGAUGUUUGGGAUAAACUUUAUCACAUACCCAAGAAAUUUUAAGGACUGGAUUCAAGUUAUUUCUUCAAGGUUUAUCUUUAAUCCUCCAAAGCUUAAGGUAAGUUGGUUUCUUCGAGAACCAAGUGUCGUCCUCUUCAUAAACCUAUAAAUAUACUUGGCAAAAUGUUUUCUUGAAGGAAAAAGUAUUGUUCUUGGUGAAUAGAAAAGGCAGGGGCUGCUUAUCUUGGAUAAAUAGACAAAAAUGUCAGCAAAGGAGUUUGACGACGUAAGUUAGUAAGUCCCGAAGUAAGCUGCAGGAAUGUGAUCAAUGCCUAGAAGGGCUAUGUUCUUCCUAAGGGGCUAUAUGGAUGCGUAAGAGGGUUAUGAGUUGCCUACGGGUCUAUAUUGAUGCCUACAAGGGAUAUGUGUAGCCUACGGGGCUAUAUUGAUGCCUAAGAAGGCUAUGUGCUUCCUACAGGGCCAUGUUAUUGCCUAAGAGGGCUAUGAGUUGUCUAUAAGCUAUUUUGAUGCCAGAAGAGAUAUGUGAUUCCUAUGAGGCUAUAUUAAUGACUAAGAGGACUAUGUGACUGCCUAUCGCUCUAGGGGACUACCAAUAGGGUUAUAUAGAUUGAUUGGCACCUUCCGAGCUUAUGGGGCACUGAGUAGGUGGUCUUAUGUGUUGUUUGUACCUGCCGAGUUUAUGGGGGACUGAGAGGUGGUCUUGUGUGUUGUUUGUACCUGCCGAGCUUAUGGGUACUUGGUUAGGUUGUUGUUUUAUUAUUUUUGAUAAUUUAUGAUUUACGCGCAGGUCAGUACACUUAUCUUAUCCUUGAUAUAUUUAUUAGAUUAUUCCAGUAUAUUAGGAUACCUGCUCAUAGUCUAUUGCCUUUCAUACUCUAUACAUAAUUUUGAAGUGACUCCCCAUUGCUUGGGGGUGCUGAAUUUAUGCAUGGAGGUCCCUACAGACGACCUAGUAGACCUCUUCAACAAAAGGAUUGACUUUUAUCCGGUUGGCUAGCCCCUUUCCUAUGAGCAAUCAGAGUUUACAGGAAGCCCUAGUGGCAAUAUUGGACCGAAAAGUAAGGAAGUUGUGGAAAAAAGAUGUAGCAUCAGUCAAGGUACUUUGGAGAAGUCAGAAUAUAGAAAAAGUCACAUGGGAAGCAGAGAAUGACAUGAGGGCCAAGUAUCCCCACUUGUUUCAGUGCCCACACAAGGUACUUUAUACAAACCCACAUGUUCUUGAGAGUUGAAACAUCCACCCUAUAAGACAAAGUUGCCAGCAAAGGAGUUUGACGACGUAAGAUAGUAAGUCCCGAAGUGAGGUCCCAAUAGAAGAUCCAGUAGACCUCUUCAACAGCAGGAUUGACUUUUAUUCGGUUGGCUAGCCCCUUUCCUCCGGAGCUACCAGAGUUUGGAGGUUUGUUAGCCUUUGUUGUAUAUAUUUUUAUGGGUAUGUUGGGGCCCUGUCCCACAAAUCUUUACUAUUAUUAGAAGCAUGCAAACUAGUGUGUGGGGUGUAUAAUUACGUUAUGGCCAUGCUAGCAUAGUUUGUUGGUUUUCUGAAGUAUGUUAGUUGUUUAUUGUAUUGUCUUGAUAUAUACUUGCUUUCAUUUUCGA